CUCUGUCGAUCCAUCCAUCUCUCUCUCUCUCAUUCCUAUCCACGCAAGAGCUUCCCCGGAGCGUACCGGCACCAGCGCCCCAUCUAUCUCCAGCCCCUCCCCGCCGACGGUGGCCACCACCAAUGCGUCGUGGCCAGCCCGUUGCGUGCGCCCCCUCCCCUCCGCCGGGCUGUAAGCCAACGGAGUGUCCCCUGGUGACAGAUCAGAUCCGGGGCAGCUGUCGCUCCUUCCCUUCCCGUGACUCCGGCGCGAUGUGCCCCCCUCUGAUCUCCAUGGGGACCUAUGCCGCCCAAAUUUGCCUCACAUGCAUGUCAUUCCGGUGUGCUGGCGGCGCGACCCAGCGCUGUUGGGCUACUUUUCGUCUCCGCCAACAUCCGCGGUGCCGGCAAGCCGGCCCUGUUCUGUCUCCUCCUCUGUGAGGCCCGUGUCCGACAGUUGCAGGCUCGUCCGACUCCCCCCCUGCUGUCAACGCUGGAUGUGCCAAACCUCCACCAUCAGGUGGAGAGUUUGAUCCCAAGCGGUGAUGAUUUUAUUUUUGCCUCCUCUGCCUCAGGCAGAGGAACGGAGAGUGGCGGCAAGGGCAGCCGCCGGCGCGAUGACGAGAACCCAGGGGUGGACACACGGGAGAUCGGGUGCUCGCGCGAAGCCUCCUGCAGCACGGUCGCCCACGAGCCCACCCGGAGCUGUCGCCCCCGCUGAAAUGCGCCGCCCCGCUGCCCGUGAAAUGCGCCGCCCCGCUGCACUGGAAAGGAAGCUGUCUGGAUAAAGAAAGGAUCGCGGGCUGAAUUCUUACGAACGUAGGGGCGUUUUUGUAAAAACGAAUCGUUUUUGCAACUUCACUUAAACGGGGACCGCGGGUUGAAUUGUCAAAAACAGAAGUGCUUUUUUGCAAAAUUACAGACGACGUACGACCAGAA